UUUCAGUUUACGGAUACAACGUUUGACUUUUCGUCUUAUUUUAGAAAAUGAUUAAGAUUAACUUUUUUUAUUGUUAUUAGAUGAUAAGACAUAAAUAGUAUUUUAUGUGUGAUUAAUUUUUUAAAUAAGACGGAUGGUCAAACAUUGAAUACAGAAACCGAAAAAUAAACUUAUU
rnacentral:pre_miRNA from 1 species